rnacentral:lncRNA from 1 species
UGUAUGACUGAGUAUAAGAAAGAGAAAUGCAACCCGGAUCCUGGCUGCUAAAGUAAAGUAGAUGCAAAACAAAAAAAUUCAUAGGGACUUCGUCCUCACUUACAAAACUUGGGAAAGCCAUAAUUAGCUUGUGUACGGUUUUUGGAGUCCAAUAUCACAAGAUUGGUGUGUAUGAUUGAGUAUAAAAAGUGAAAUGCAACCCGGAUCCUGGCUGCUAAAGUAGAAUAGAUACAAAACAAAAAAAUUCAUAGGGACUUCGUCCUCACUUACAAAACCUGGGAAAGCCAUAACAAGCUUGUGUAGGGUUUUUGGAAUCCAAUAUGACAAGAUUGGUGUGUAUGAUUGAGUAUAAGAAAGAGAAAUGCAACCCGGAUCCUGGCUGCUAAAGUAGAGUAGAUGCAAAACAAAAAAAAACUCAUAGGGACUUCGUCCUUACUAACAAAACUUGAGGAAACCAUAACAAGCUUGUGUAGGGUUUUUGGAAUCCAAUAUGACAAGAUUGGUGUGUAUUACUGAGUAUAAGAAAGAGAAAUGCAACCCGGAUCCUGGCUGCUAAAGUAGAGUAGAUACAAAACAAAAAAAAAAACUCAUAGUGACUUCGUCCUCACUUAUAAAACUUGGGAAAGCCAUAACAAGCUUGUGUAUGGUUUCUGGUGUCCAAUAUGACAAGAUUGGUGUGUAUGACUGAGUAUAAGAAAGAGAAAUGCAACCUGGAUCCUGGCUGCUAAAGCAGAGUAGAUGCCAAACAAAAAAACUCAUAGGGAGUUCGUCC